CAUGGUCUGCCUGACUCUCCUGGCUGGAGGGCCCGAAGAAGAAGUGGCCUGGGAGCCAAGGCCAGUGGCAUGGUCCAUUCCUCCCAUCAGCCCUCGGAGGGCAUUGGCCCUGGAGACACCCAGGGAGAACCAAAGGAGAUGUCCCACAAGAGACUGCCAGCCCAGCCGCAGGAUGGAGAGGUGCUAGUGCUGGAGAGGCCUCUGCUGGGUGAGGGGAGACAGGAAUCGAUACCAUAGCAUCAGAGUGUGUGGAUGGGGCGCCGGGAAACAGAGACAUGGCUGCUUCCAGGAGCCUCCUCCAAGUUCUCCAAGGCACUCACGCUGUUCCUUGCAGUCUGGUGACUCCACAGGACACCCCGUUUGUGGCCCCACGGUGCUGCACCAUCAGCCCACGUCUGGGGAUCCAGCCCGACACCACUGGGAAGUAUUUUUGGUAGAUUUGAUCAGGGCCCUGGUCACCCUCCAAGGGAGCCUAGUUUCCUGCUGCCUGCUGGCCAUAGCUGUGACCACGUCAUCCACACCCUCCCUGGCCUCUGGGGGCCUCCGCAGGACCAGAGGGGUGGAUUGGGCUUGCUCUGCCCUUGGAGUAUUGGAGCAGGGCCUCUGGGCUCAGCCUCUGGGUCUUUGCUUCACUCUGCUGAGCCCCCAAUUGUCUCAUCUAUGAAAUGGGGGUGCUGUAUAGAGCAGGAUUCUCCAAGUCAGUUCCCUCAACCAGCAGCAGCAGCAGCAGCAGCAGCAGCAGCAGCAGCAGCAGCAGCAGCAGCAGCAGCAGCAGCAGCAGCGACCCCUUGAAGCUCAUUAGAGACGCACACUUGGAAAUCAGAAACCAGGGCUGGGGUGAUUCUGGUACGGGCUCCGGUUUGAGCAGCACUGAUACUCCCUCCCCUCCUGUUCCCAGGGCAGACAUUGCUAAUCCAUCGCCACACCAUCAUUGAGCCCUGAGGGCUGGGCUGACAGACCAGGUCUGUAACUCAGCCUGCACAUGAGGCUGAGUUCAAGGAUGCAAGGUGGCUGCCCGCUCCCAGCUCACCUGAGCGUCCCCCAUCCACUGUGCUCAGCCCAGCUGGGGGGUGGGGGAGGGGUGAGGUCCACUCAGUCCACUUGUCC